AGAUUGAACGCUGGCGGCAUGCCUUACACAUGCAAGUCGAACGGCAGCAUGACGUGUAGCAAUACACGUUGAUGGCGAGUGGCGAACGGGUGAGUAAUAUAUCGGAACGUGUCCUGUAGCGGGGGAUAACCUAUCGAAAGAUGGACUAAUACCGCAUACGCUCUACGGAGGAAAGCGGGGGUCGCAAGACCUCGCACUAUAGGAGCGGCCGAUAUCGGAUUAGCUAGUUGGCGGGGUAAAAGCCCACCAAGGCGACGAUCCGUAGCUGGUCUGAGAGGAUGAUCAGCCACACUGGAACUGAGACGACGGUCCAGACUCCUACGGGAGCAGCAGUGGGAAUUUGGACAGUGGGCGCAAGCCUGAUCCAGCCAUGCCGCGUAGAGGUGAAACGUAGGCCUUCGGGUUAGUAAACGCUUCGUUUACGGACAGGUAACGAAAUUGGUUACGUUAGUUAAACGUACCGAACGGAGUUAGA
rnacentral:rRNA from 1 species